AGUCGACGAUGAAGCUGGAGCUUGCUCCGGUGGAUUAGUGGCGAACGGGUGAGUAACACGUGAGCAAUCUGCCCUUGACUCUGGGAUAACUGCGGGAAACUGUAGCUAAUACCGGAUACGAGACUGAGAGGCAUCUCUCAGUCUGGAAAGAAUUUCGGUCAAGGAUGAGCUCGCGGCCUAUCAGCUAGUUGGUGAGGUAAUGGCUCACCAAGGCGACGACGGGUAGCCGGCCUGAGAGGGUGACCGGCCACACUGGAACUGAGACACGGUCCAGACUCCUACGGGAGGCAGCAGUGGGGAAUAUUGCACAAUGGGCGAAAGCCUGAUGCAGCAACGCCGCGUGAGGGAUGAAGGCCUUCGGGUUGUAAACCUCUUUUAGCAGGGAAGAAGCGAAAGUGACGGUACCUGCAGAAAAAGCACCGGCUAACUACGUGCCAGCAGCCGCGGUAAUACGUAGGGUGCAAGCGUUGUCCGGAAUUAUUGGGCGUAAAGAGCUCGUAGGCGGUUUGUCGCGUCUGCUGCGAAAAUCCGAGGCUCAACCUCGGACCUGCAGUGGGUACGGGCAAACUAGAGUGCGGUAGGGGAGAUGGGAAUUCCUGGUGUAGCGGUGGAAUGCGCAGAUAUCAGGAGGAACAUCGAUGGCGAAGGCACAUCUCUGGGCCGUAACUGACGCUGAGGAGCGAAAGCGUGGGGAGCGAACAGGAUUAGAUACCCUGGUAGUCACGCCGUAAACGGUGGGUGCUAGUUGUGGGUUCCAU
rnacentral:rRNA from 1 species